rnacentral:lncRNA from 10 species
GGACAUGGAUAAACAUGUUGGGUUCUUUUCAACUUUGGGCUAUUUUAAAUAAUGUUUCUGUGAAAAUUAUUGUACAAUUUUUUGUGUGGACAUAUAUUUCCAUUUUUUCUUUGCUAGAUACACCAGAAAGGAAAUGCUAGGUCACAUUUUAACCAUGUUAAAUUAUAAUCAACAUGUAACCUUUUGAGGGACUGUCUGUUUUAUACAGUGGAUAUACCGUUUUGCAUUUCCACAAUGGGAAAUUGAACUUUCCAGUUUCUCCACAUUCUUGCUAAUAAGCUGAUUCUUUUUUUUUUUUUUUUUUUAGAUGGACUCUCGCUCCUUCACCCAGGCUGGAGUGCAGUGGCGUGAUCUUGGCUCACUGCGGGCUCUGCCCCCCAGGGUUCACGCCAUUCUCCUGCAUCAGCACCCCGCGUAGCUUGGACUACAGGUGCCCGCCACCUCGCCUGGCUAAUUUUUUGUAUUUUUAGUAGAGACGGGGUUUUACCUUGUUAGACAGGAUGGUCUCGAUCUCCUGACCUCGUGAUCCACCCGCCUCAGCCUCCCAAAGUGCUGGGAUUACAGGCAUGAGCCACUGCGCCCGGCCAAUAAGCUGAUUCUUAAUGGAGAUGACAGGAACCUAGAAACCAAAGAGGAUCAUGAGAAAGAGAAGUAGUCAGGGAAUCAGGUCAGAGACAAGGAAACAAACAAAGGAUUGGAAGGCUCAUGGAUUCAUAGCAACCAAAACUUCAAGUAGUUUAGAUAUUAUGCCUGCCUAGAUUCAGAGCCCCUGCUCUUCCCACUGUAUUAUAUUUCUCUAUGAGAAAUUUUUAAAAUGGAAAUGAGGGAAAAGUGAGUUAGAGGAAGAGGAUAGGAAAGCACUUAAUGAGAUUGAAAGCUACCAAAAUUAUCCUUUCUCUGUUGAAGCAGAAAUAACAAAGUCCCAACUUCAGGCACUGAACAAUGGAAGUCAUAUCUGAUCCUUGAAGAGGAUGGCUCUUCCUUUACCCUGAAUUGAAUCUAUGUUCAUCUGCCACCACUGUGCCAUUUAUCACUUCCAAUCACAUUCAAAGAAGUAGCGAUAUCUCAUUCCCAAGGUUCUGCAUCCCCCUGUUUAGCCUUUCCCACCCACAUGGGCUCUGCGGUUUUGAAGAUGUCUUGUUGGUUUUUCUGCAGCCUGGGACCAGGACACCACACGCUCAAUGGAUGUUGUAAGGAAUUACAGGUGAUGUUUGUGUCUUGUGAGUAUGGAUGUGGAGAUCAUACCCUUCAGUUAAGAAUAAUUCUAAUUCUACUAUCCACUAGUCUUUUUCAUAAAAUGGAGUUGCAAAGCCUCCCAAAGCUGUCUCCUGUUAGUGGUCAUUAUCCUUAUUGCAUUCUGUUUUUUCCACUAUUUAAAUGAAGACAUACUGCCCGGCAUCUCCCCCAGGCACAAGUUCUACUAGUAAUGACAAUUUUUUCAUUAAUACCAAUUGUAUACAUAAUCUUAUUGAGUUUCCACAAUAACCUAGAGAGAAAGAAACUGUGAUUACCUUUAGGUUUUAUAUGAGGAAACUGAGACUAUCGUGCCUUUGGAUUGAUCAGAGGCUGAAUUUAAAGAUAAGUGAACAUUGUUGGACAAACAAAAGACCUCCCAGCUCUCAAAACAAUAUCUACUGGAGGUAGGUGGAAGAGAAGGUGGGUAGAAUUAGGGUUUUCAAUGUGGACAAUAAUCAAGUACAAAGGAGACAGUUAUCUAUCCAGAUGGUUUAGACUAAUGAUUCCCAACAUGCUUCAUGUUGUGACAUGCUAAUUUUGUCUAAUUUUAUUAAUUCCCUGAAGCAAUAUGUGGGUUCUUAAAAGUAAUUAAAGUAGAAUUAAAUGUUAUGUUAAUUAAACAUGGCUUUAAAUGAAUUUGAGAUGAUGUGAAUUGGUUUUGCCCCUUGGGAUAACUGCAAAGUGCCUAUCCUGAUUUUGUGACAACUCAGAGUAUUAGGAACUGAAAUCUUCAGAAACUUGAAAGAGGUGACUGAGCCAGAAUAUCUAUCAGGUCCCUGAGUUUGCAUCUUAGAAGUUUUGUCCUAGUUGUCAUUUGGUACCUGUGGGAGGUAAUUCCAGUGUUAUGGUAAAGUUCAUUCUAGAGAUGAAUAAUCCUCCUCAGAUUUACCUUUCUUUUUAUCUUUUUCUUUUGGGCUGCUCCUUCUCCUUCAUGCUAUCACUAUAGUAAGGCAACUGGACCGCCAUGCUUUUUGGAUUCACUCCCCAUUUACCUCUCUGUCCUGCUUAGAUUUCUCCCACUUUCGGUUCCCAUGGCCAGGGUCCUGUCUAACCUAUUUUCCAAGCAUCAAAAGUGUCUUUACAAAUCUGUUCUGCAACUCCCACUACUGAUGACUUCUGUGAUAUUCCUCCUUUGGUCAAGUUGGUCUUCUUUCCUCCUCCUCUGUGACUUGGAAGCCUUUAGUUCCCACUAUACCAUAUCCAUAAGGAUUCAUUAUUCUUAACAUUGUCAGUUGGCCCUCUGCUCCAGAUCAUGCACAUGUCCUUCUACCCCUCACCUCCCACCUGACUGCUCUCAGCCUGUGCUAUAGACUCAGGGUGUUUGCCUGAUUCCCCUUGACCCCCAUCCUUGGGGUAGACACUUACUGGGCUGAGAUAGGCUGGUUUCAGUGCCCGUGCCAAGGUAGUCUGCAUGUUCCACUGCAUAAUCUGAGGACAAAUGUCUGGUAAAAUCUUUCAGAAUUCCAGUCAUUUCUCCUGUCCGCCUGUUCAAACUGAAGUUUCAUUUAAAGCCUUUGUGUUUACGAGAGGUUUGAUCAUAGAAGGCAAAUCUUCCCAGUAAUGUCAUUUAGCCUAUGUUUUUAUUUCUGCAUUUAAUAAAAUGCAGUCAAAUUCCAAAUUGUGUAUUUCACUCUUGCUUGAGCAUAUUGAUAGAAGCUGUUGUCAGCUAUGUGUUCUUCCUAUCAAUCAGUCUUUUCAAAGUUCUUUGUUAACAAUUAGUCAUCAGGGUUCAUCCAUACAUUGUUGUAUUACACAAUCAAUCAUUAAACUCAAGGGGAAAAAUGCUUAUUGAUGUGCAUAUUUUUCCCGAUAUAUUUUAAGUGAAAAGAGCAGGGUAAAAAACCGUAUUACAUUAUUAUUCUAUUACAAACACAUUUACACACACACACACACACACACACCCCCCAUGAAUAUAUUUUAAAUGGAAGAUUAAAAGGACACCAAAGUGCUAACAGUGAUUGUCUCUAGGUGCCAAGAUUGAUCAAUUUAUAUGUUCCCCUUCCUUCUCCAUAUUUUCCAAUUUCUCAAUAAUGAGUGUGUAAUUCUUUUAUAGUCAGGAAAAAGUAAUUUUAGAUAAUUCAAUUAGUUAUCAAGGUCAACCAGCAUGUGUGGAAAAGGUGACAAUUCUUACUGAAGAGAAAUUAACACCUUUAUUGUUAUGAAUUGAGGUUACUUUUUAAAGUAGGAACCUAUCUCUAAAAUUAAAAUGGAAGUGGAAACUUACUGAGUUUGAAAGAAUCAUUUUACAUAUCACUUUUCAAGUAAAACCAAUUUCUAUUUUGCUUUUUCUUCAAGUGCUUAAACAUUUUCUCUUCUGGGGCCCUUAUUUUAUGCUCCCCAAGAGAAAGGGCCAUGUCUCCUAUUUCCUUUGGCAUCUCCCACCCCCUCCCCACUCUCUUUCCUGUACUGCUAUACACCCAAGAAUAAGUCAGUGCACACGAUGUGCACGCAGAAAAUGUUUGUUAAUGGACUUGGUUAUUUCCGUUUUCUACUAAAUCUCAUCCUAGUCAUGUUUUCAGAAUCAUAGAACAUGGCUCCUUACUCCUCAGAAGCCUGGUAUCUCUCCCUACUGCUCUUGCUUAGUGCCCUGGGUCCCAGAACUCCACCCUUAGAUCUUCACUCUUGCAGUGUGAGGUAGACCCCAGCCAGUUCCGAGCUCCAGGGCCCUUGCAAGGAUGCCAGGUUUACGCCAGCCAUUUUCCCUGACUCAUGGGGGCUUGGCCAGCAGGUCAGUCACUACCCAGGAGGCCAGUCACUACCCAGUCUCGAACAUUCCUCCCUGAAUCAGAUGCUGCUGACUGGAUACCUCCAAGAAUCCCAGUGGGUUGACAGAAGUGUCAGCUUUAGGCCAAAGGAGUCUCUGGGAUGUCCUUGCCUUGGACAGAAGCUGGGGACCACACAGCCAGCUGACUCUGCUGCCCUGCCUUUGGGGUUAUAGCAUCUUGCCACUGGGCCCCCCAAACUAUCCUUUCCCUCAAUACCUGCUCAUUUGCUCAGGUCCCCGGAUCCAGCCUAGGGACUGUCUCGGCAGGGUCCUUCUAUCAGAGAGCCCAGGACCAGAUGCUGCUCUGAGCACCACCACCCAGAGCAGCACCAGGGAGGGAUGCCCAGCCCAGAAUAGCUGGAGCAGCCCCCCUGCCCCCACCCCCUGCCGACCAGGGAAGCUGACUGAGCUCACCCUGAGUGUGCUGGGGGGCAGAGGAGACCAUGCAGAUGUGCUGAGAGCUCCCUGGAAAGCAAGGCUCAGCUUCUUCUGCUACUGUCACCAGCAGAUGGAGAGAGGGGUCAGUAUUUAUCCUCUUGUAACACCUGAGGGGACAGAGUUGCUGACAUGUCUCAUAGAGUCCUUGUCCCCCACCUCCCUCACCCAUUGCCCACACUCCCUCAUCCUCUCACUUCAAGAGGCCUUGUUACCCCCCUAAAGGCCUGGAUUAGGCUCCACUGGUUAAAAAUCUUGUUCUAACUCCAAGUCCCCUAGAAUGUCCAUACCUUUAAGGGCUGGCACUGGUGCAGCAGGACUGAGGUAGAGACCCCAGAGAUUCACUUACAUAGCUGUUUCCAGUAGCCAAAUGACCAGGGACCACUAUUUAUGAGACAAUAGGAUAUCCCUUUCCUGAGAACAUGUUGGCCAAGCAGCAGAAGUGGGUGUGUUGUCCCUGAGGCUGAAUUUGGUGGUCUUGAGACCUAGCAUAGUGAGGCCAAACACUGACUUGGAUGGGUGCUGAGCCUGUGAAGGAAAAAACUCUACCAGAGAAACCUGACUGGGUUCGCUUUGUUUGUACAGAUCUAGUGGAGUUCCCCUUAAGCCUGAGAGGCCACUGGAGCCUGAGAGGCCACUGGAGACCAAGUCUGGUUAUACGCUGUAGAAGCUGGGUAAAUACCAUUUGGAGCACAGGUCUGCAGCAGAUCCAGAGUAAAUAAAACCUGAUACCUGCAUUGGACAUCUAAAAAAUGUUGAAUCUGGCAAGCUAUAAAUGAUAACAUGAAACAGUUAUUGAGUGUGUGCGAUGUCUGGAUACUAUUCUAACCAAUGUGAAUGCAUCAUCGCAUUUAAACCUCGCAGCAAAUUUAAGAAGAAAAAAAUCUUCCAUGUCCUUGAGCCAGUUACCAGAGAAGAGCAGAAAUCCAGGGAGGACAAGGGAUUGACCUGGGUAGUAUUGAGCUGGAAGGUAAAAGCAAUGAACAAAAAGAGGUUCAGAUUCCUUAUUUUGGAGCGACAGUGUCAACAAGAAACAUCUGCCAAACCACAAGGACCAUGUAGAAGCUGGUGUCCCAGGAGGUAAGAUUUUCUACCUUUCCUCCAUUGCACAACAAGCUAUAACCAUGCCUGGUGGAGAAAAUGGAUGAAUAAGGAAGGUUAGCUGUGAGUGAAUUUCAAUUCUGCUAAUGUUUUUUGAACCAUUACCAGAUAACCAGGCCCUGUGUGGGACCUAGGUGGGAGCCAAAAAAAAAAAAAAAAAUGGCUCUAUCCACUUAAAGGGUUUCAAUCUAGGCAGACAAAACAGAAUAUCAGAAAAUUGCACAAAGAAUUUCAUAAGAAGGGCAAGCGUCAUAAUGCUACAAAAGGCAUGCAAAGUGCAAUGGGAGAACAGAAUAUGCACACUCAGUUUCCUCUGAAAUGUCAGGAAAAGCUACCUAGAAACGAAGAUAGGAUUUAAAUUUGGAUUUAGUAAAUGAAUAGAACUUGGACAAACAGGGCAUGGAGAGAUUUACAUAUCAUAUUUACGAGUUUCAAAUUUAUCUUAUAGGCAAAGAGAGACGUGGAAAUUUUAAGCAAUUUGGAGGGUAGAAGAAGGCUGAUGUGGUCGGAUUUACAUUUAAACCUCUGUGGUUGUUGUGUGAAAGUAGAUUUCACAAAAUCCGGGAUGGAUUCAGGGAGAAGGGUUAAAGGACCAUUUAGCUAAUCCUGGCAAAAAAAAAAAAAAAAAAAAAAAAAAAAGAGUGUGCCAGUGAUGGUGGAGGCAUUUGUGAGGGAGAAUUGACAGGAUUUGGUGAUUGACUGAAUGUAGCGAGUGGAGGGAAAGGAAGUGUUAAGGGUUGACUCAAGUUUAGGGCUCAAAAAACUGGAUGGUGCCAUUCACAUAGGUAGGGGACAAGGAAAGAAGAGCAUCAGGUUUAGAAGGGUUCAAUUUUUGAGAUAAUAAAUUUGAAGUGCCUGAGAAGCUACCAAUUGCAGGUUCCAACUGGUAGUUGGAUAUAAGGAUCUGAAGCUCUAAGGGAACUGGGUUUCACAUGGCUACCAAGUAAACCGCACUGCCACACUCAAAACUAGGGUUUAGGGUUUUUUGGAAGAUGGCUACUAGGGCUAUAUAGUUUCUGGGAGUAGUAGAGGCAGAAGAAAAACUAUUCUUAGAACUCAAAGAUCCCUAGAUUAUAGAUUAGGCACUAACCUAGAUAUAGAUAAAUGCUACUUUCUGCUUUUCCUUGCAGCUUGACCAAUUUGAUUAUUUCUCUCCAACUAGUUGUUUGAUUUUGGUCACCUUCUCUUCUUUAGGCAUUAGUUUUCUCAUUUAUAAAAGAGCUUAAGGUUUUGUAUUAUUCAUAUAUAAGAUUGUAAGCUUAUAAAAAUAUCUUGUUGUUCAAUAUAUUUACACAAAAUAGCAAUAUCCAGGAAUUUCAUGCAACCUUACAAAUUCUGAGAAUGAGUUAGCCAUGGACUAAUGAAUUAAUUGGGGUUUUAUUUACACUUGCAUUGUAUGUUAGAAGUAUAUUCAAGAAUAGCAAUGGACUUGGCCCUGGUCCACUCAGAAUUUGCAUAUAGAAAAAUUAUAGCUGCAAUUCCGGCCUGGAGUUCCUACUAACCAAUGAUUCAUUGUUCUUUACAAAGGAUUUGCAAACUCUAAUUAGUGAGCCCAAUCUAUUAUUUAGCUAUCACCCUAUUUAAGAUUCACCCCUACAAAUCUCAAUAAUUGCACAUGAGAAUUCAUGUAUAUGCUUACAUUUUUAAGUCUCACAGUGCAGUGGUGGUAGAGCAUUUGGAAUAGAAACAUUUAGAAGUGUCCUGAAUCUUUAUGACAGACACGUACUGAACUUAAUUCAGUCUUUGGAGCACUAAGUAAAUCCUCAAUAUAAGGACAUGCAUGGUACAGCAAAGUUAUUUGCAUCCCAGUUGUCAUCCAUGUUCUCUUCUAUAACUUACAGUCAAAUUAUAUAGUUUCCUAACCUUGUUAUCUUGGAAUUAUUUUAACUCAUGACUAGGGUUAUCACACAGGCUUACCACUCAAACUGACAUAUUUAUACUCACAUACAUAUUUCCCUCCUAAAUAUUUCUUAUCAGACAAUUGUUUCAUAAAAUAUAUAUUAUUUUGUUUAUAUAAUUUCUGCCUACGGUGUUGCUGUUGAUCUAGACAACUACUUUUAAACAAUUAGUUAGAGUAAUUCAGUUUUUCUUAAGAAGACUUCAUUUGCAGGCAAGAAAAACACUGUGAAUAAAACCGUGAGCAAGUCUUCACAGAAUAUUUUGCAUUUUUGAGACACUCAAUAGAAGAUUAAGGACUAUGUCUCAAUGUUUUUCAUAGGGCAACUUUCACUUCCUCAUUUCUCA